GUCGUUUUGUGUUCUGGAGAGGAACUUCGAUUUUUCCAGACUUGACCCUUAGGGCAAGCAUUACAGAAGCCAGGUUCCCCAAGUUUCCUCCCUGUUCAGAGCAGGUCCCUUCGAUGAAUAGAGAUACUCUCAUUGAAAUGUAAUGUCAGGCUGGCAUACGUCUUUCUUCCGCUGACACUAUUUCCAAGGAUUCUUUGGAAAUAAGGGCAGUCAGAACUUUAUCCUGGUUCUUAUUCUACUCUAGGCCAAACAAGGUUCUUGUUCCUGACAUUCAAGAAGAUGGCCUCCACACAGUGGGAACGUACAAUCUCAUAAUAAACAGGAAUCUAACC